GCCAUGUAAGGAGACGAGGUGGCCCAUGCCCUGAAAAGCCUUGAGCUCCACUAUGCUAAUUUUGGGUCAAAGUCAUUAGCUGCAAUGGAGAAAACGUGGCACUGUGGAUUUGAUGGUUAGGACUCUGUCAGUGAAGGAUACUUAUCUGGGCCCGGGGCUCAGGAAACUCAAAAGGGGAAGCUCCGGUUCCCACAGUGAAUUGCUUGCCAAGCCUUUGGUCAAUCUUGGCAGGCUGCCACCUCUGUCCUGCCCUGGUCUGACCCCUGGAGGCUGUGAGUGCUGGUACCCGCUGAGUGCUAGAUGGCAGGCAUGGCCAGGGGCCAGAGCCAUCUGAGACUUCAGUCAACUCGAGACACAAGAAAGCUUCUGUGAUCUUCGGCACCUGGGGAGAUUCAAAUGCAGGAGGCUCCUGGCAGGACAUGGGCCAUUGGAGUCAGGACCUUCUCUGGAGCCACUGCAGCAGCUUCCUGGCAGUUGUAUAUCCCUAUGCUGCUGCUGCUGCUGCUGCUGCUAAGUCGCUUCAGUUGUGUCUGACUCUAUGCGACCCCAUAGACGGCAGCCCACCAGGCUCCCCCAUCCCUGGGAUUCUCCAGGCAAGAACACUGGAGUGGGUUGCCAUUUCCUUCUCCAAUGCAUGAAAGUGAAAAGUCAAAGUGAAGUCGCUCAGUCGUGUCCGACUCUCAGCGACCCCGUGGACUACAGCCUACCAGGCUCCUCUGUCCAUGGGAUUUUCCAGGCAAGAGUACUAGAGUGGGUUGCCAGUGCCUUCUCUGUAUAUCCCUAUAAUAC
ensembl:lncRNA